AGAGGAUUGGAGAGGUAGCUGRAAUUSUUGSUGUAGCAGUGAAAUGCGUGGAGAUCAAGAGGAACACUSGUGGCGAAAGCGAGCUWCUGGWCAAUAUCUGACGCUGAGGCUCGAAGGCCAGGGUAGCGAAAGGGAUUAGAUACCCYUGUAGUCCUGGCAGUAAACGGUGCACGCUUGGUGUGAGGGGAAUCGACCCCCCUCGUGCSGGAGCUAACGCGUUWAGCGUGCCGCMUGRGAAGUACGGUCGCAAGACUAAAACUCAAAGAAAUUGACGGGGACCCGCACAAGCGGUGGAGUAUGUGGCUUAAUUYGAUGCAACGMSAAGAACCUUAYCAAGGCUUGACAUGCAUCUCUMAACACGUGAAAGCGUGUGMCCYUUCGGGGAAUUUGCACAGGUGCUGCAUGGCCGUCGUCAGCUCGUGUCGUGAGAUGUUGGGUUAAGUCCCGCAACGAGCGCAACCCUUGUGACUAGUUGCCAGCACGUAAUGGUGGGAACUCUAGUCAGACUGCCCAGAUCAACUGGGAGGAAGGUGGGGACGACGUCAGGUCAGUAUGGCCCUUACGCCUUGGGCUGCACACGUACUACAAUGCCCAGCACAAUGAGAACCGAUGCCGCGAGGUGGAGGAAAUCUGUAAAACUGGGCUCAGUUCGGAUUGGAGGCUGCAACUCGCCUCCAUGAAGUUGGAAUCGCUAGUAAUGGGGCAUCAUCUACGGCCCCGUGAAUACGUUCCCGGGUCUUGUACACACCGCCCGUCACAUCAUGGAAGCCGGUCGCACCCGAAGUGCCCGUACCAACCGCAAGGGGGUAGGGUCCUAAGGUGUAGCUGGUAACUGGGAUGAAGUCGUAACAAGGUAAC
rnacentral:rRNA from 1 species